GAUGAACGCUGGCGGCGUGCCUAACACAUGCAAGUCGAGCGAACAGACGAGGAUUUUGCUCGGCUGACGUGAGGGGCGGGCGGGUGAGAAACACGAGUAUACCCGACCUAUAAGACUGAGAUAACUUCGGGAAACCGGAUAAAAUACCGGAUAAGAUAUUGAACCGUAGGGUUCAUUAGUGAAAGACGGUUUUGCUGUCACUAAUAGAGGGAUCCGCGCCGGUUUAGAGAGUUGGUAAGGUAACGGCUUACCAAGGCUAGGAUGCGUGGCCGACCUGAGAGGGUGAUCGGCCACACUGGAAGUGAGACACGGUCCAGACUCCUACGGGAGGCAGCAGUAGGGAAUCUGCGGCAAUGGGCGAAAGCCUGACGGAGCAACGCCGCGUGAGUGAUGAAGGUCUUCGGAUCGUAAAGCUCUGUUAUUAGGGAAGAACAGAUGUGUAAGUAAAUAUGCACGUCUUGACGGUACCUAGUCAGAAAGCCACGGCUAACUACGUG
rnacentral:rRNA from 1 species